UACGUAGGGUGCAAGCAUUAAUCGGAAUUACUGGGCGUAAAGCGUGCGCAGGCGGUGGCUCAAGCCAGGCGUGAAAUCCCCGGGCUUAACCUGGGAAUGGCGUUUGGGACUGGGUCGCUAGAGUGUGGCAGAGGGAGGUGGAAUUCCACGUGUAGCAGUGAAAUGCGUAGAGAUGUGGAGGAACACCGGUGGCGAAGGCGGCAUCCUGGACCGGCAUUGACGCUGAGGCGCGAAAGCUAGGGGAGCAAACGGG
rnacentral:rRNA from 1 species